rnacentral:lncRNA from 1 species
GUAUGUAAAAAUUAGUGAAAACAUGUAAUAUGUUUAUAAGUCUUAAUGUGAGUUAGAAUAGUUAGUAUGUUAAUUUAAAAUGAAUUGAAAUAAGAAAAAUUAUUUGGAAGUUAAUCUAGUUUGAUCAUAGAGUUUAUAUUAUAUAGGAUUUAGAUAGUUAGUAUAAAGAUUAAGGGAAGGGAGGAGUUAAAAGAUGAAAAUAUAACUAGAAGGAGGCUUAUUGGAAAGGAUGAAAGUAAGGCAUGGUUGGAUGAAGGCAAGGGGUGAAGAACUUCAUCCCUAUUGGUCGAAUACCAUGCCCAAUGGGCUUUGAGGAGGCUGCCCGAGGCCAUAUUAGGAAUUAGGGUUCCUCUUUCGAGGCCAUUCGAGCUUUUGAGGCUAGGGUCAGAAGGUUUAGGGUUUUGGGUAUAAUUUGGGUGAAGAUUUUGUGUGAUUUCGAGUUUUUAUGGAAAAGAUAUGAAUGUUCAAAGAUAAGGUGUCAAUUUCGUACCUACUGUCACUUCUUUUGGGCAUCACAUACGAAUACGGAGAGCAACGGAAGAUCGGCAAUUGGAUUUGGAGGGAGAAUUUUCUCGGCUACACAUUCUAUUUACUGUAUAGUGAAUUCUAAGAUUGGAUGAAGGAGUUAUGAGGCGUUGAAGACAGCACUUGUAAUUUGAAGGCAGUAAGUAUAUCGUUUUGUUGCUAGUUAUAGGUGAAGCCAUAUCUUGAGUUUCUGGACGAAUUUUUGGCUCAAAAUUUCCAUAAGUGUGUGUAAUUGGAUUAAGAAGCUUUAAAUCAAAGUUUCAUAGUAUUUGAAUAAUUACUUUGUGAGAUAUGAAAGAAGUUGUACACGGGUAUAAAAAAGCUAGGGUUUGAAGCUACAGUUAGAGUUUUCAAGAUAUCACAAGAUCCAAGACGAAUUUACGGUUGAAUUUUAGUGUGGUAGUUGCUAAAGAUAUAUCAGUACUCUAUGUAAAAUUUGGAGUUUUUUAGACGGUUAGAUCGUAAGUUAUGAGCUGUUGAACUUCGGAAAAAAUUC